rnacentral:rRNA from 1 species
UACGUAGGGUGCAAGCGUUAAUCGGAAUUACUGGGCGUAAAGGGUGCGUAGGCGGUUGUUUAAGUCUGUCGUGAAAUCCCCGGGCUCAACCUGGGAAUGGCGAUGGAAACUGGGCAGCUAGAGUGUGUCAGAGGAUGGUGGAAUUCCCGGUGUAGCGGUGAAAUGCGUAGAGAUCGGGAGGAACAUCAGUGGCGAAGGCGGCCUUCUGGACCAAUACUGACGCUCAUGCACGAAAGCGUGGGGAGCAAACAGG